rnacentral:rRNA from 1 species
GCAUUCAGUUGCCAUCGGGUAAUGCCGGGCACUCUGGAAGGACUGCCAUCGACAAGAUGGAGGAAGGUGGGGAUGACGUCAAGUCAUCAUGGCCCUUAUGUCCAGGGCGACACACGUGCUACAAUGGCCGGCACAACGAGAAGCGAGUUCGCGAGGACGAGCGGAUCCCUCAAAGCCGGUCGCAGUUCGGAUUGAAGUCUGCAACUCGACUUCAUGAAGCUGGAAUCGCUAGUAAUCGUGGAUCAGCCAAGCCGCGGUGAAUACGUUCCCGGGCCUU